rnacentral:misc_RNA from 1 species
GGCAACGACGAAGGGGAGUAGCCCCCGAAUCGGGCAAUCGACAUACUGGCCGCGCGGCAUCACGCCUGGCCCGGUUGCUCGAACCGGAUCAUCAUCCGGUGGGCGAGACCUUCGGCCGAACA